rnacentral:rRNA from 1 species
ACCAUGCAAGUCGAGCGGUACAGAGAGUAGCUUGCUACUUUGCUGACGAGCGGCGGACGGGUGAGUAAUGCUUGGGAAUAUGCCUUUACGUGGGGGACAACAGUUGGAAACGACUGCUAAUACCGCAUAAUGUCUUCGGACCAAAGGAGGGGACUCUUCGGAGCCUUUCGCGUAAAGAUUAGCCCAAGUGGGAUUAGCUAGUUGGUGGGGUAAUGGCUCACCAAGGCGACGAUCCCUAGCUGGUUUGAGAGGAUGAUCAGCCACACUGGGACUGAGACACGGCCCAGACUCCUACGGGAGGCAGCAGUGGGGAAUAUUGCACAAUGGGCGCAAGCCUGAUGCAGCCAUGCCGCGUGUGUGAAGAAGGCCUUCGGGUUGUAAAGCACUUUCAGUCGUGAGGA